rnacentral:rRNA from 1 species
UACGGAGGGUGCGAGCGUUGUUCGGAAUUACUGGGCGUAAAGGGCGCGCAGGCGGCUUGAUAAGUCAGAUGUGAAAGCCCACGGCUCAACCGUGGAAGUGCAUCUGAAACUGUCUGGCUUGAGUACUGGAGAGGAAAGUGGAAUUCCUGGUGUAGAGGUGAAAUUCGUAGAGAUCAGGAGGAACACCGGUGGCGAAGGCGACUUUCUGGACAGAUACUGACGCUGAGGCGCGAAAGCGUGGGGGAGCAAACAGGAUUAGAUACCCUGGUAGUCCACGCCGUAAACGAUGAGAACUAGGAGUGGGGGGUGUUGAUCCCUUCUGCACCGUAGCUAACGCAAUAAGUUCUCCGCCUGGGGAGUACGGCCGCAAGGCUAAAACUC